UACAGAGGGUGCGAGCGUUGUCCGGAAUCACUGGGCGUAAAGGGCGCGUAGGUGGUUGGGGAAGCGUGUGGUGAAAGCCCGGGGCUCAACCCCGGGUCGGCCAUGCGAACUGCCCGACUGGAGCAUGGUAGAGGCCAAUGGAAUUCCGGGUGUAGCGGUGGAAUGCGUAGAGAUCCGGAAGAACACCGGUGGCGAAGGCGACGUCCUGGACCGGCAUUGACGCUGAGGCGCGAAAGCCAGGGGAGCAAACGGG
rnacentral:rRNA from 1 species